rnacentral:rRNA from 1 species
AAUAAAUACCGGGUAGUCCACGCCGUAAACGAUGAGUGCUAAGUGUUGGGGGGUUUCCGCCCCUCAGUGCUGCAGCUAACGCAUUAAGCACUCCGCCUGGGGAGUACGGUCGCAAGACUGAAACUCAAAGGAAUUGACGGGGGCCCGCACAAGCGGUGGAGCAUGUGGUUUAAUUCGAAGCAGCGCGAAGAACCUUACCAGGUCUUGACAUCCCGGUGACCACUAUGGAGACAUAGUUUCCCCUUCGGGGGCAACGGUGACAGGUGGUGCAUGGUUGUCGUCAGCUCGUGUCGUGAGAUGUUGGGUUAAGUCCCGCAACGAGCGCAACCCUUAUUCUUAGUUGCCAUCAUUCAGUUGGGCACUCUAAGGAGACUGCCGGUGAUAAACCGGAGGAAGGUGGGGAUGACGUCAAAUCAUCAUGCCCCUUAUGACCUGGGCUACACACGUGCUACAAUGGACGGUACAAACGGUUGCCAACCCGCGAGGGGGAGCUAAUCCGAUAAAACCGUUCUCAGUUCGGAUUGUAGGCUGCAACUCGCCUACAUGAAC